rnacentral:rRNA from 1 species
UACGGAGGGUGCAAGCGUUGUUCGGAAUUAUUGGGCGUAAAGCGCGUGUAGGCGGCCCGAUAAGUCUGGUGUGAAAGCCCUUGGCUCAACCAAGGAAGUGCACCUGAAACUGUCGGGCUAGAGUACUGGAGAGGAGAGUAGAAUUCCCAGUGUAGAGGUGAAAUUCGUAGAUAUUGGGAGGAACACCGGUGGCGAAGGCGGCUCUCUGGACGGAUACUGACGCUGAGACGCGAAAGCGUGGGGAGCAAACAGG